UGGGUCGUGGGGUAACGGUAGCCCGGCUGACUCUGGAUCAGCUAGUCCUGGUUCGAAUCCAGGCGACCCAG
rnacentral:tRNA from 1 species